rnacentral:tRNA from 1 species
GGAGAGAUGGCUCAGUGAUUAAGAGUACUGGCUUCUCUUCCAGGAGACCUGGGUUUGAUUCCCAGCACCUUCA